rnacentral:lncRNA from 1 species
ACAAAAGAUAAAGAAACGAGAUGAUCGAUUCAACUCUAGAGAUAAGCAUAAAUGUGAUUGGUCGAAUUCUAUUACAAGUGCAACCUUCGUUUUGUGUUGUAGAGACAUGCGUCUAAGGAGAAACUCUUUGCAAUCGAAGUGAGUCGAGUGACAUGCCCGAGCUACUAAUUGAGUACCAACAAGUAGUUGUGCGGUUAGUAAUAAUGUGGCCGGCGCCUUUUGAAGCACUAAAUAAGUUCGAAGUUAUA